rnacentral:rRNA from 1 species
CCUACGGGUGGCAGCAGUGGGGAAUUUUGCGCAAUGGGCGAAAGCCUGACGCAGCAACGCCGCGUGAGUGAUGAAGGCUUUCGGGUCGUAAAGCUCUGUCAGGGGGAAAGAAGUGUAUUGUGGCUAAUAUCCACGAUACUUGACGGUACCCCCAAAGGAAGCACCGGCUAACUCCGUGCCAGCAGCCGCGGUAAUACGGAGGGUGCGAGCGUUGUUCGGAAUUAUUGGGCGUAAAGCGCGUGUAGGCGGUUUGUUAAGUCUGAUGUGAAAGCCCCGGGCUCAACCUGGGAAGUGCAUUGGAAACUGGCAGACUUGAAUACGGGAGAGGGUAGUGGAAUUCCGAGUGUAGGAGUGAAAUCCGUAGAUAUUCGGAGGAACACCGGUGGCGAAGGCGGCUGCCUGGACCGAUAUUGACGCUGAGACGCGAAAGCGUGGGUAGCAAACAGGAUUAGAUACCCUUGUAGUC